rnacentral:rRNA from 1 species
UACGUAGGGGGCAAGCGUUGUCCGGAUUUACUGGGCGUAAAGAGCGCGCAGGCGGUCGUUCAAGUCGCGUGUGAAAGCCCCCGGCUCAACUGGGGAGGGUCACGCGAUACUGAUCGACUCGAAGGCAGGAGAGGGAAGUGGAAUUCCCGGUGUAGUGGUGAAAUGCGUAGAUAUCGGGAGGAACACCAGUGGCGAAGGCGGCUCACUGGCUCGAUACUGACGCUGAGGUGCGAAAGCGUGGGGAGCAAACAGG